UUUGAACGCUGGCGGCAGGCUUCACACAUGCCAGUCGAGUGGAGAUGAGGUGCUUGCACCUUAUCUUAGCGGCGGACGGGUGCGUAAUGCUUAGGAAUCUGCCUAUUAGUGGGGGACAACAUUCCUAAAGGAAUGCUAAUACCGCUCACGUCCUACGGGAGAAUGCAGGGGAUCUUCGGACCUUGCGCUAAUCGAUGAGCCUAAGUCGGAUUAGCUAGUUGGUGGGGUAAAGGCCUACCAAGGCGACGAUCUGUAGUGGGUCUGAUAGGAUGGUCCGCAACACAUGUACUGGGACACGGGCCAGAAUCUGACGGGAGUCAGCAGUGUGGAAUAUUGGACAAUGGGGGGAACGAUGAGCCAGCCAAGCAGCGAGUGUGAAGAAGGCCUUAUGGUAGUAAUGCACUAUAAGCGAGGAGGAGGCUACUGAGACUAAUACUAUUGGAUAGUGGACGUUACUCGCAGAAUAAGCACCGGCUAACUCUGUGCCAGCCGCCGCAGUAAAAC
rnacentral:rRNA from 1 species